rnacentral:tRNA from 1 species
AGUGCUGUAGCUCAAUGGCAGAGCACUUGCCUAGUACUUGCAAGAUCCAGGGUUCAAUCUCCAGCACUA